UACGGAGGGGGCUAGCGUUGUUCGGAAUUACUGGGCGUAAAGCGCACGUAGGCGGACCAGAAAGUUGGGGGUGAAAUCCCGGGGCUCAACCUCGGAACUGCCUUCAAAACUAUUGGUCUUGAGUUCGAGAGAGGUGAGUGGAAUUCCGAGUGUAGAGGUGAAAUUCGUAGAUAUCCGGAGGAACACCAGUGGCGAAGGCGGCUUCCUGGACCGACACUGACGCUGAGGCGCGAAAGCUAGGGGAGCAAACGGG
rnacentral:rRNA from 1 species